AGUGAACGCUGGCGGCGUGCUUAACACAUGCAAGUCGAACGAGAACGGGUUAUAGCUUGCUAUAAUUGUCAGCUAAGUGGCGCACGGGUGAGUAAUGUAUAGGUAAUAUGCCUCUUACUAAGGGAUAACAAAUGGAAACGUUUGCUAAUACCUUAUACUCCUUAAUAACAGAAGUUAAUAAGGGAAAGAUUUAUUGGUAAGAGAUUAGCCUGUAUUGUAUCAGUUAGUUGGUGGGGUAAUGGCUUACCAAGACUAUGACACAUAACUGGUUUGAGAGGAUGAUAAGUCACACUGGAACUGAGACACGGUCCAGACUCCUACGGGAGGCAGCAGUGGGGAAUAUUGCACAAUGGACGGAAGUCUGAUGCAGCAACGCCGCGUGGAGGAUGACACAUUUCGGUGCGUAAACUCCUUUUAUAUGAGAAGAUAAUGACGGUAUUAUAUGAAUAAGCACCGGCUAACUCCGUGCCAGCCGCCGCGGUAA
rnacentral:rRNA from 1 species